rnacentral:snRNA from 1 species
GUAGAUUGAAUCUCCAAG